rnacentral:rRNA from 1 species
GACGAACGCUGGCGGCGUGCCUAAUACAUGCAAGUAGAACGCAGUUGCGAACGGGUGAGUAACGCGUAGGUAACUGCCUCAUUGCGGGGGAUAACUAUUGGAAACGAUAGCUAAUACCGCAUACUGUGAGCUGGACCUGCUUUGUAUUAUGUAGUUGGGUAGGUAAAGGCUCACCAAGGCGACGAUACAUAGCCGACCUGCGAGGGAUAUCGAGCCCAAUGGGACUGGGAAACGGCCCAGACUCCCACCGGAGGGAGCAAGAGGGAAACUUCGGCAAUGGGGGGAAGUCUGAACGAGCAACGCCGCGGGAGUGAAGAAGGUUUUCGGGGCGUAAAGCUCUGUUGUUAGAGAAGCGGUAACUAAACAGAAAGGGACGGCUAACUACGUGCCAGCAGCCGCGGUAAUUC